CCUACGGGAGGCAGCAGUGAGGAAUAUUGGUCAAUGGGCGUAAGCCUGAACCAGCCAAGUCGCGUGAGGGAUGAAGGUUCUAUGGAUCGUAAACCUCUUUUGUCAGGGAGUAAAGUGCGGGACGUGUCGCGUUUCGUAUGUACCUUAUGAAUAAGGAUCGGCUAACUCCGUGCCAGCAGCCGCGGUAAUACGGAGGAUCCGAGCGUUAUCCGGAUUUAUUGGGUUUAAAGGGUGCGUAGGCGGACUUUUAAGUCAGCGGUGAAAGUUUGUGGCUAAACCUUAGAAGUGCCGUUGAAACUGGGAGGCGUGAGUAGGUUUGAGGCAGGCGGAAUGCGUGGUGUAGCGGUGAAAUGCAUAGAUAUCACGCAGAACCCCGAUUGCGAAGGCAGCCUGCCAAGCCAUGACUGACGCUGAUGCACGAAAGCGUGGGGAUCAAACAGGAUUAGAUACCCGUGUAGUC
rnacentral:rRNA from 1 species